UACGUAGGGCGCGAGCGUUGUCCGGAAUUAUUGGGCGUGAAGAGCUCGUAGGCGGCCUGUCGCGUCGGUUGUGAAAGCCCGGGGCUCAACCCCGGGUCUGCAGUCGAUACGGGCAGGCUAGAGUUCGGUAGGGGAGAUCGGAAUUCCUGGUGUAGCGGUGAAAUGCGCAGAUAUCAGGAGGAACACCGGUGGCGAAGGCGGAUCUCUGGGCCGACACUGACGCUGAGGAGCGAAAGCGUGGGGAGCGAACAGG
rnacentral:rRNA from 1 species